UCCAUGUACAGUACAAUUUUCAUCAUCCCACGUAAAACACCGACAAAAAAUUAAAAAGAUUUUCACAAUUGGCAAUAAUUAAGAAAUGCAUAAAGAAAAAUAUAGCACUUUCAGCAAGUGAUUUCCCGCAAGUAUUUUUCCUUAUACACAUGCAUAUAUACACAAGUUUUUCUCCAUGAUCCCAUCCAAAACAAUGAAAAAACGAUUAUAAAAUUCUACUAAUUUAGAAGAUAACGAUAAUUGAUAAUCUCACCCCUUCAACUCCACGAAUACAUGGAGAAGAAAAAAGAACCCUAUUCUUGAAAUCAUAGUUCAAAACAAACCUUUUUGUUAAAGCCAAAAAUAUGGGAUCUUCAGCAGAAUAAAUAUCCACCUGCAGCUCUUUCUUAUGGCUACAAAAUCAUUGAAAACGGGCAUUUCUAUGUUAAUGUUUUGUUGUUGAAGCCCAAUUUCUAUCUUCGACUUCAAGGAAGCUUCCAACUCUGUAGGCCUAUGGCAUCGUGUUUUCUCGACGGACCGGAGGCCGGAAUAGGCAGUCUUUUCGGCAAGAAGUUCAAGAAAUGGCCUGAAUUUUGAGUGUUUGGCUUGAUUUUGUAUGUAUUCAUUGCUCUUGAGCCACUGGAAUGGCCUAUAAGGAAGAUAAACAUAACAAGCAACCAAAGAAGAAGUAGCAGUAGAAUCCUGUUAAAACUAUUCAUCUUGCAGACGUUCAGAAAAAUAAAACCACAGAGAACACACUAAGAGAGAGAGAGAGAGAUCGAUGGAGAGAAAUUGUGAGUUUCAGCAACUGGGUUCUGGCUUAUUUUUCAGGGUUUUGAUGAGAAGAAGAAAGGAAUAGCAAAAUACAUACAUGGCCAAUUGGAUGAAGAACAGUGUGUAAUAUCAGCUGUUUAGUCUUGUUGACAGUACACUGUGUGAUCAGUGUGUGUUAGAAACUAAAGGGGUUCUUGAAUGGGUCUCAUUGGUUAGAAUCCAAUAGAAUAAAGAUGAAUUAUAAAAGAAAGGUGACAGUGAGAUAAAGAUUUGUGUCUCUUCUUCAAAUGCCAAUAAAAGAAAUAAAGAGGAAAAGAUUAGAGAGAGAAAAUAGUCCAGUAGGGUUAUGUCAUUGUAAU
rnacentral:lncRNA from 1 species